rnacentral:rRNA from 1 species
UCCUUAGAUGUUCUGGGCCGCACGCGUGCUACACUGAGUGGAUCAGCGGGUCAGGUUGCGCGAAAGCGUUUCCUAAUCUUGAAAUCCGCUCGUGAUGGGGAUUGACGGUUGCAAUUUUCUGUCAUGAACGAGGAAUACCUUGUAAGCGCGAGUCAUCAUCCCGCGCUGAAUACGUCCCUGCCCUUUGUACACACCGCCCGUCGCUCCUACCGAUUGAGUGGUCCGGUGAGGCUUUGGGAUCUGAGCGGAAAGAGCGUUUCGCUCGUUCUGCCCGGAAAACUCAGUCGAACCUUAUCAUUUAGAGGAAGGAGAAGUCGUAACA